UUAAAGCACUUAAGGGCGUAUGGUGGAUGCCUUGGCUCUCAGAGACGAAGAAGGACGUGGUAAGCUGCGAUAAGCUGCGGGGAGCUGCACACAAGCAUUAGAUCCGCAGAUUUCCGAAUGGGACAACCCGGCAUACUGAAGGUAUGUCAUCCGAAAGGAAGUCAACCUCCUGAACUGAAACAUCUAAGUAGGGAGAGGAAAAGAAAACAAACGUGAUUCCCUGAGUAGUGGCGAGCGAAAAGGGAACAGCCCAAACCGGUGUAGCGUGCUGCACCGGGGUUGUAGGACUGCAUUUAGAAAUCAAACUCAAGCUGAACUCUCUGGAAAGUGAGACCAUAGCAGGUGAUAGUCCUGUAGGCGCAAAUGUUUGAGGACGAGCAGUAUCCUGAGUAAGGCGGGACCGGAGGAAUCCUGCCUGAAUCUGCCGGCACCAUCCGGUAAGGCUAAAUACUCCUGAGAGACCGAUAGUGAACCAGUACCGUAAGGGAAAGGUGAAAAGCACCCUAAACAAGGGAGUGAAAUAGUACCUGAAACCGUACGCCUACAAGCGGUCGGAGCCUGGCAACGGGUGACGGCGUGCCUUUUGCAUAAUGAGCCUACGAGUUACUCCUCACUGGCGAGGUUAAGUUCUUCAGUAACGGAGCCGUAGCGAAAGCGAGUCCGAAUAGGGCGACUAGUCAGUGGGGGUAGACGCGAAACUUUGUGAUCUAUCCAUGGGCAGGUUGAAGGUGUGGUAACACACACUGGAGGACCGAACUCAUUAGCGUUGAAAAGCUAUGGGAUGACCUGUGGAUAGGGGUGAAAGGCCAAUCAAACUGAGAGAUAGCUCGUUCUCCCCGAAAUGUUUUUAGGAACAGCCUCGGAUUACAGACAUUUACCAGAGGUAGAGCUACUGAUUGGGCUAGGGGGCUUCACCGCCUACCAAACCCUGACAAACUCCGAAUGCUGGUAAAUAUCUCCGGGAGUGAGGCUGCGGGUGCUAAGAUCCGUGGCCGAGAGGGAAAUAACCCAGAUUAGCAGCUAAGGUCCCUAAGCGUAUGUUAAGUUGAUCAAACGAGGUGGGAUUUCUAUAACAGCCAGGAUGUUGGCUUGGAAGCAGCCAUUCAUUUAAAGAGUGCGUAACAGCUCACUGGUCGAGAGAUCCUGCACGGAAAAUAAUCGGGCAUCAAACAUACCACCGAAGCUCUAAAUUGCACGCUNNNNNNNNNNNNNNNNNNNNNNNNNNNNNNNNNNNNNNNNNNNNNNNNNNNNNNNNNNNNNNNNNNNNNNNNNNNNNNNNNNNNNNNNNNNNNNNNNGUGUAUAUGGUAGGGGAGCAUUCUGAUCUGCAUAGAAGGUGUGUGGCGACGCAUGCUGGAGCGUUCAGAAAAGAAAAUGUAGGCAUAAGUAGCGAUAAAAGUAGUGAAAAACUACUUCACCGUAAGACUAAGGGUUCCUGAUCAACGUUAAUCGGAUCAGGGUUAGUCGGGUCCUUAGGCAAACCCGAAAGGGGCAGCUGAUGGAAAACUGGUUAAUAUUCCAGUACCCACUCUAGUUUCGAUGGGGUGACGCAGUAGUGAAAGACCCGCGGGGCAACGGAAGUUCCCGUUAAAGCGUGUAGAUAUAUUUUUCUCAGGUAAAUCCGGGAGAGAUGUCGAACGUGAUAGUACUCAGAAGCUUCGGCUGAAGAGAUAGUGGUCCUAAUCAAACUGCCGAGAAAAACCUCUAAGGCAUGGCUAGAGCGGCCCGUACCGCAAACCGACACAGGUAGUCGAGGCGAAUAGCCUAAGGUGCUCGGGUGAGCCGCGGAGAAGGAACUAGGCAAAUUGACGCUGUAACUUCGGGAUAAAGCGUACCACAGUGAUGUGGUCUCAGUAAAAUGGUUCAACCAACUGUUUAACAAAAACACAGGGCCCUGCAAAAUCGUAAGAUGACGUAUAGAGCCUGAUACCUGCCCGGUGCUGGAAGGUUAAGGAAGGAUGUUCGGCGCAAGCCAAAGCUUCUGACUGAAGCCCCAGUAAACGGCGGCCGUAACUAUAACGGUCCUAAGGUAGCGAAAUUCCUUGUCGGGUAAGUUCCGACCUGCACGAAUGGUCUAAUGAGUUGAACACUGUCUCCUCCGCGAGCCCGGCGAAAUUGUAGUAUCGGUGAAGAUGCCGGUUACCCGUCACGGGACGGAAAGACCCCGUGAACCUUCACUACAACUUUGCAUUGAUUUUGAGCAAACAAUGUGUAGCAUAGUUGGGACGCUUUGAAGCAGGUACGCUAGUAUUUGUGGAGCGGUCGUUGAAAUACCAACCUUUGUUUGCUUAGAGUCUAAUCCCUGACGGGAAACAGUGCAUGGUGGGUAGUUUGACUGGGGUGGUCGCCUCCUAAAAAGUAACGGAGGCUUGCAAAGGUUCCCUCAGUACGGUUGGUAAUCGUACGCAGAGCGCAUUAGUAUAAGGGAGCUUGACUGUGAGACAGACACGUCGAGCAGGGGCGAAAGCCGGCUAAAGUGAUCCGGUGGUUCUGCAUGGAAGGGCCAUCGCUCAAAGGAUAAAAGGUACUCCGGGGAUAACAGGCUGAUCUCCCCCAAGAGCUCAUAUCGACGGGGAGGUUUGGCACCUCGAUGUCGGUUCGUCACAUCCUGGGGCUGGAGAAGGUCCCAAGGGUUCGGCUGUUCGCCGAUUAAAGUGGCACGUGAACUGGGUUCAGAACGUCGCAAGACAGUUCGGUCCCUAUCUGUGAUGGGCGUUAGAAUAUUGAGUGGACAUGACCUUAGUACGAGAGGACCGGGUCGUACGGACCGCUGGUGUAUCUGUUGUGCCGCCAGGUGCAGUGCAGAGUAGCUACGUCCGGCCAGGAUAAACGCUGAAAGCAUCUAAGCGUGAAACCUUCCACGAGAUGAGUAUUCUUUUAAGGGUCGUCAGAGACUAUGACGUUGAUAGGCUACAGAUGUAAAAGUGGUAACACUAAAGUCGAGUAGUACUAAUUGCCCGUAAGCUUUAAUUUU
rnacentral:rRNA from 1 species